rnacentral:rRNA from 1 species
UGCCAGCAGCCGCGGUAAUACGAAGGGGGCUAGCGUUGCUCGGAAUUACUGGGCGUAAAGCGCGCGCAGGUGGCCUGUUAAGUUGGGGGUGAAAGCCCGGAGCUCGACUCCGGAACGGCCUUCAAAACUGGCAAGCUAGAGUCCGGAAGAGGAGAGUGGAAUUCCCAGUGUAGAGGUGAAAUUCGUAGAUAUUGGGAAGAACACCAGUGGCGAAGGCGGCUUUCUGGACCGAUACUGACGCUGAGACGCGAAAGCGUGGGGAGCAAACAGGAUUAGAUA